rnacentral:rRNA from 1 species
UUGCCCUAGUAACGGCGAGUGAAGCGGCAACAGCUCAAAUUUGAAAUCUGGCGCAAGCCCGAGUUGUAAUUUGUAGAGGAUGUUUCUGGCGACGUGCCUUCCGAGUUCCCUGGAACGGGACGCCAUAGAGGGUGAGAGCCCCGUACGGUUGGAUGCCUAGCCUCUGUGAAACUCCUUCGACGAGUCGAGUAGUUUGGGAAUGCUGCUCUAAAUGGGAGGUAUACGUCUUCUAAAGCUAAAUACCGGCCAGAGACCGAUAGCGCACAAGUAGAGUGAUCGAAAGAUGAAAAGCACUUUGAAAAGAGGGUUAAAAAGUACGUGAAAUUGUUGAAAGGGAAGCGUUCAUGACCAGACUUGGGCAGGUUGAUCAUCCGUGGUUCUCCGCGGUGCACUCUGCCUGCCCAGGCCAGCAUCAGUUCGCCCCGGGGGAUAAAGACUUUGGGAAUGUGGCUCCCUCGGGAGUGUUAUAGCCCACUGUGUAAUACCCUGGGGUGGACUGAGGUUCGCGCUCUGCAAGGAUGCUGGCGUAAUGGUCAUCAACGACCCGUCUUGAAACACGGACCAAGGAGUCGUCUUCGUAUGCGAGUGUUCGGGUGUCAAACCCCUACGCGUAAUGAAAGUGAACGUAGGAGAGAGCUUCGGCGCAUCUCCGACCGAUCCUGAUGUUCUCGGAUGGAUUUGAGUAAGAGCAUACGGGGCCGGACCCGAAAGAAGGUGAACUAUGCCUGUAUAGGGUGAAGCCAGAGGAAACUCUGGUGGAGGCUCGCAGCGGUUCUGACGUGCAAAUCGAUCGUCAAAUAUGGGCA